CAGAUCCUGCACCUGUGUGUCCUGAUUCUCCACUGCAGAAAGCAGUGAAACGCUCCACAGCCAAAGGUGAAAUUACCAACAAAAACAACCUCUGGAUGAAGAAAAUCCGAUCCACUCUGCCCCUCGUCCUGAUUAAGAAAUUUCACCGUGGAAAACCAGA